rnacentral:rRNA from 1 species
GAAACCUAAAGGCGAAAUGAAAGUGAAGGCGCGCCUUGCGCGCGCCGAGGGAGGAUGGGCGUCCGACUCUGGCCGCCCCGCACUCCCGGGGCGUCUCGUUCUCAUCGCGAGAAGAGGCGCACCCAGAGCGUACACGCUGGGACCCGAAAGAUGGUGAACUAUGCCUGGUCAGGACGAAGUCAGGGGAAACCCUGAUGGAGGUCCGUAGCGAUUCUGACGUGCAAAUCGAUCGUCGGAACUGGGUAUAGGGGCGAAAGACUAAUCGAACCAUCUAGUAGCUGGUUCCCUCCGAAGUUUCCCUCAGGAUAGCUGGCGCUCGCAACUUUUGCGAGUCUCAUCCGGUAAAGCGAAUGAUUAGAGGCAUUGGGGUCGAAACGGCCUCAACCUAUUCUCAAACUUUAAAUGGGUGAGAUCUCCGGCUUGCUUGAACGCAUGAAGCCGCGAGAUCGGAUCAGAGUGCCAAGUGGGCCAUUUUUGGUAAGCAGAACUGGCGCUGUGGGAUGAACCAAACGCGGAGUUAAAGCGCCUAAAUCGACGCUUAUGGGAUACCAUGAAAGGCGUUGGUAACUUAAGACAGCAGGACGGUGGCCAUGGAA